rnacentral:rRNA from 1 species
CAGCAGCCGCCGCGGGAAUACGUAGGGUGCAAGCGUUAAUCGGAAUUACUGGGCGUAAAGCGUGCGCAGGCGGUUAUAUAAGACAGAUGUGAAAUCCCCGGGCUCAACCUGGGAACUGCAUUUGUGACUGUAUAGCUAGAGUACGGCAGAGGGGGAUGGAAUUCCGCGUGUAGCAGUGAAAUGCGUAGAUAUGCGGAGGAACACCGAUGGCGAAGGCAAUCCCCUGGGCCUGUACUGACGCUCAUGCACGAAAGCGUGGGGAGCAAACAGGAUUAGAUACCCGUGUAGUCCCUGUCUCUUAUAC